UCUAAUAUGACAGAUUAUAUGUAAUGGAGUUAAAUCCCAUUUAUAAAGGAUUACCUUUUUUUAGAA
rnacentral:tRNA from 1 species